rnacentral:rRNA from 2 species
GAUUGAAUUAAAACCUGGCUCUUAUGAAUUUGGCGGCGGACGGGUGAUUAACACGUGGGUAACCUGCCCAUAAGACUGGGAUAACUCCGGGAAACCGGGGCUAAUACCGGAUAACAUUUUGAACCGCAGGGUUCAAAAUUGAAAGGCGGCUUCGGCUGUCACUUAUGGAUGGACCCGCGUCGCAUUAGCUAGUUGGUGAGGUAACGGCUCACCAAGGCAACGAUGCGUACCCAACCUGAGAGGGUGAUCGGCCACACUGGGACUGAAACACGGCCCAAACUCCUACGGGAGGCAGCAUUAGGGAAUCUUCCGCAAUGGACAAAAGUCUGACGGACCACCGCCCCGGGAGUGAUGAAGGCUUUCGGGUCGUAAAACUCUGUUGUUAGGGAAAAACAAGUGCUAUUUGAAUAAGCUGGCACCUUGACGGUACCUAACCAGAAGGCCACGGCUAACUACUUGCCACCACCCGCGGUAAUACUUAGGUGGCAAGCGUUAUCCGAAAUUAUGGGGCGUAAAGCGCGCGCAGUUGGUUUCUUAAUUCUGAUGUGAAAGCCCACGGCUCACCCGUGAAGGGUCAUUGAAAACUGGGAAACUUGAGUGCAAAAGAGGAAAGUGAAAUUCCAUGUGUAGCGUUGAAAUGCGUAGAGAUAUGGAGGAACACCAGUGGCAAAGGCGACUUUCUGGUCUGUAACUGACACUUGAGGCGCGAAAGCGUGGGGAGCAAACAGGAUAAGAUACCCUGGUUAGUCAACGCCGUAAACGAUGAGUGCUAAGUGUUAAGAGGGUUUCCGCCCUUUAGUGCUGAAGUUAACGCAUUAGCCACUCCGCCUGGGGGAGUAGGCCGCAAGGCUGAAACUCAAAGGAAUUGACGGGGCCCGCAC